CAGGGGAUCUUCGGACCUUGCGCUAUUGGAUGUGCCUAUGUCGGAUUAGCUAGUUGGUGGGGUAAAGGCCUACCAAGGCGACGAUCCGUAGCUGGUCUGAGAGGAUGAUCAGCCACAUCGGGACUGAGACACGGCCCGAACUCCUACGGGAGGCAGCAGUGGGGAAUAUUGGACAAUGGGGGCAACCCUGAUCCAGCCAUGCCGCGUGUGUGAAGAAGGCUUUCGGGUUGUAAAGCACUUUCAGUGAGGAGGAAAACUCUGCGACUAAUACUCGUAGGGCUUGACGUU
rnacentral:rRNA from 1 species